AAAGAAAAGAUAUUUAUUGACACAAGCCAUACAUACACAAAGAAAUAAAAAUAGAAUAAUAAUUAAAAAAAAAAGUAAUAAAAGGUUGUGCCAAAUAGGUCCAGUUCAGCAUUAUGCCAGACAGCUAGUGUCUGACGCUGGUUUUCAACUGGACCUAUGAGGAGUUGCGGGUGUCGAUCGGUAUGAAAUCAUUUAUGCUCUAAAGACAAAAUAAUAAAACUACUAAACUACUAAAAAUAACUAAAAAAAUAAAUAAAAAAAGGAACCAUAAUCAUAAUCAGAAGGAUUAGUCACAAAAAAUAAAAUAAAAAAGUGGAGGUAAACGUAAAUAAAUUCAUACCGUGACUAAUCGCAAUCCUGACUAAGCAUCAUUCAGCGACGACUUUUUCACACAGAUGAAAUGUGGUGUUAAACACAUUCACAGAGCCGUAACUGGUUGCAGCAUCUGUUUUCAUUGUGCCACCGAUCAUUUCCGACAUAUAUUAGUGCAAUUUAAAACAAAUAAGCAAUUAUAAAUUGUGCAAACUCGUAAAAUACAAUUUUUACAUAGCUGUUAGUUGCCAGCAGUCCACAUUGAGUGAGUAUAUUUUACAGUAUUUUUUUUUCCCGUAUACGUGCAUACAAUAUGUUUUAUUAUAUAUUAAUUUUACAUUUCAGGUACCUACCCUAUGUUCUUGAGAAAAAAAAAUGCAUAUUAAGUAAUCAUAUCAUUCAGGCGAAGGUACAUAAGACGUUUGCAAGUCAAAGUUCACUUCCCUGUACAAAAAAUGAUCACCGUGCACCACGUACACGCCGUAGGGUGCACCUAUUGCCAGAAGGCCAUACCCACAAGGCCUCCAGACAUGGCGCACCCAUAACGCAUCAUGGCCGGUGACCCAAGAGAGACCAGGAAUACUCAAUUUAAGCUGUGAGAAUACACUACACACAUUACAUACACAUUAGCCUCACGCAUUGUCAUAAAACUACAAUAGUAUGCUAAGUGGGCGAUAUAAAUAAGAUUUAUAUCCAUUUCUUAUUGAUAUAAUUUAAAAUUUAGAUAAUAGAAAUAUUUGCCUUCGUCAUAUCGAGCUUCCGCUGCGCAUCUACCAUGUACUGCCGUAAACGUCUCUUAAAACUAUCGACUGUGUUCAUAACUCUAAUAGGUGGUGGAAUAUUGUUCCACACUUUCGCUGCUGCAUAUCGGAAACUCCCUCUAAACGCCGUGGUUCUAUGUGGCUGGAUGCAAAGUUGUUUCGAGCAUUGUCUUCUAGCGCAUGUGCGGCUGUCAUUAAUCCAAUUCAGCUUGCCAUAUAAGUAAGCUGGCUGUUGGUAUUUAAUGACUCCAAAGAGAAGACAUGCUAAAUGCAGCUUACGUCUUGACUUCAUUUUUAGCAUGGCGUUUUUGUUGAGGAAUGGCGUGACGUGACCUCGUCGGGGAAUCGAGUAACAGAAACGCGCACAGGCAUUUUGCACUCUCUGUAUGAGUCGGUCGGUGCGAGCUAAUAGACGUGGCCCGUAGACUGUGUCGACGUAGUUUAAUUUAGACAGAACAAGUGAUUCAACGAGUUGUUCACGAAUUGUCUCUGAUAGAAAAGGUCUGAUUUUGUACAGUAUUUUCAGACGAUAGAAACAGUUCUGUACCGAAGAAGCCACGUGUUUUUCGAAUCUUAAAUUAUUGUCCAUAUUUAAACCCAGAUUACGCGCCUCGUCUACUCGCUCAAUGGGUUCACCCAUUAGUUGAAGAUUGAGUGUUGGCGGAAGUCUUUUCAAUUGCUGCUUAGUGCCAAACACCAUAUAUUUUGUUUUGGCCGGAUUAAGAGCCAAACAAUUUUCUUUUGAC
rnacentral:lncRNA from 1 species